rnacentral:rRNA from 1 species
UAUCCCAGAAUCACGCGGGAGCGCAUCCAGCAAUGAAGAACUCGUAUUCCGACAGUCAUUAGACUCGAGAAUGUAAUACGAUUGCAUCAUCAAUCUAUCAUCAGAGCUCAAAGAGUGUGGAAGCUUCCAUUUGGGAUUGCGUUUAUAUGACACUGAUCUAUGAGGGCGUUACAGAUCUGACAUACGAUGAGAUGAAGGCAUCGUAUACAGAUCCGGUAGAGACACUCACUGUACUCGGUAAAUAUCCGGGUGCAGAUAUCUCCGGUAUUUCAUUAGAUCUUGUAUUUGGAUAUAUCGGCAGGGGUAUUCCGGUUAUCAGCAGGAUAAAUGACGGAAGGUAUGUAUUGAUCGUCAGCUAUAACAGUGAGGCGGUCAGAUACUAUGAUCCUGUACUGGAUGAACAAGUGCCGAAAGCAAGAAAUUCUCGGAUUUAUGGAAGAUGAACAAGUGCGAAAGCAAA